AGUAGACUUAUAGCUCAGAAGGUUGACACUCGCUCUAGCUUUUAUUGACGGUUAUGUACAUAUAUUUGACUGGCUUUAAUGAGACAAUACUGUCAAUAUUGACGGGAAUGUGUUCAGAAAAACAAUUAUAUAGGUUUUGCCGCCAGUGGUUUCAUUUGACGGCUUGCCUGUCUUCAAAAGAUUCAACGCGUUUCUGGAGAUUGGAAAUAUUGUGGAUCGCCCCCUGUUCUUCACAGAAAAAAAAAACUCUUCAUAACUACAAAGAUCAAACAGCCUUUGGCUUGGUGUGGUCAUGGAUCUUGCCACUGACGUUUUCAUUCCGGAGGAUUAUGCGAAAAGUCGCUACUCGAGAAAAAUGUGCGGCAAGCAACAGCCCAGCAAUUCUACAAAUCUCACAGAUGCCUGCAGCACGAAUGGCUCGUUUUCACAAAAGAACGAAAAUCCCCCAAAUAUGAGCGGCAAUUUCAACAAAGAGGAAAUACUUUUUUCUUGUUUUACUCCAUGAUUGAGCUUUUCUUCAGAAUAUGAGGGGCUGAGCCCUGUUUACGAUGAGGAUUCCUUUUUGUUCCUGUGCAUCUUUUCUUUAAUGUCGAUCUUUCGUAUUAUCUGUUUUUAUCGAAUUUAUACAAAUAUUUUGCAGGAUUUUCGCAUUUUCGGGGGAAAACCUACUGGCUUGAAUUAUAUCUCUUAAUAUCAAAACAAUGGUUUUUCAAUCAUUUCGAUUA